ACCGGCAUACUCGCGCUCUGAUUGGUCCGGGGUUUUCUGUUAAUAUCUCCACAACGAAGCCUCGGACAACAUUUUCGCUAAGGAAAAUGUUGUUUCAAAUCACCUCCCGAACCACCCCUUUCAAGGACUUCCAACAUUUUUGGGACCGUAUACCAGGGACCCUCCUAACGGCCCCUCUAACGUCGGCCCCGUCCAGAACAUUAAUGAAGUUUCACCAUUUCAACAUAUUCAAACCUGCACCACCUAUCAAAAAUCGACAUGGACUUUCCAGACAACCCAAUACUUUCCUUUAUCAGCAAAAGUAACGGAGACAUUUGCGGCGAGUACAAUAAACGACACAUCCUGUACGCUUAAACUCGUAUUGUUAGAUCUCUGUCCUGCUUUCUCUCACAAUUAUUUCCGGUACGUAAAUGUAUACCUACUUAAGCGAUAACAGCAUUAUGAAUGAAACAAAAUAAACGUUUUAAAGUCUGUCAACAUUUUUCCAUUGCGAUAUAAAAUUUACAAUCUAUGAAAGGAAGAUAGUUAAUUUUUAAAUAAUUUUUCAGUAAAUUUUAAAGAUUAAUCACUAUUACUAUUAGCAGUUCUUAAUCUUGGAUACUUAUGGAAAACAUAUGGUUAAGAAUGAAUUAUAUUAUAUGUUCAUUAAAUACCGUUAGGAAGCUAAAAGAAUUAGGAACAUGCUAAGUGUGUUGUGUACUUAUUAACUCAACCAAGUUUUUAAAUAUAUACAUGAAAUAAAAUCAACGACCAUUAUCCAUGUCCCAUUAUCCAAUACGAAAAAUUUAAAUUGCUUUAAACUGAUUCGACAAGGAAAAUUGUUUCCCAAUGAAAUAUAUUAUAAUAAUUUAUGUAAAUUUAUAUAUUCUGUAAUAAAAUAUACCUGAAAAUAGAAGAGGAUAACAGAAUGAUUAUUAAAUAUUAUUUAAAAUAUUAUAAAUAAGACUUUAUUAUAAAAUAUUAUAAAUAAUACUUUAUUAUUGUCCUCUAAGUGAUACUGUUUUCGUUAAGUGUUGUCAUAUGUAUUCUAAAUGAGAUUCUCUUGUGUUUUUUUUGCCCAUAUAAUAUAAUUUUACUUUUAAGAACAAUUCAAUAAUUGUUUUAAGCAUUUCGUAUUUAUGUUGUUUAACAAAUCCUUGUCUUUAAUGUGGGCAUUCAAAUUUUGAAAUAAACUUUCAAUAUUUAAAUUUCUCAUGACAGAAAUGGUAAUUUUUGAAAAACAUUUCUUGUUUUUAAUUUGUUUUCAAUUCUAUAAAUGUUAAACAUUUCUUCUGUAACAGUUAUAGUCGAAUAAGUAUCUUUUCUUGGAUAUCUCAAACCACCAAGGAUUUUUGUACGAAUCAAAAUUGAAUAUGCUUCUAUUGAAGAGUUCUGUUCAAGAGUUUGAUGCAUGCGCAGCAGGUAAGUUUCUUUACAGUGUGCAUUUCAACAAACCCUGUGUCAUAUACCAUGGUGUGCUGUUGAAUCAAUAAAUUCGAUAGGAAUAUCUUCAAUAGUUUUCACAUCUUCAACAUCUUC